rnacentral:rRNA from 1 species
ACCCGCACAAGCGGUGGAUGAUGUGGAUUAAUUCGAUGCAACGCGAAAAACCUUACCUACCCUUGACAUGUACGGAAUUCUGCUGAGAGGUGGAAGUGCUCGAAAGAGAACCGUAACACAGGUGCUGCAUGGCUGUCGUCAGCUCGUGUCGUGAGAUGUUGGGUUAAGUCCCGCAACGAGCGCAACCCUUGUCAUUAGUUGCUACGAAAGGGCACUUUAAUGAGACUGCCGGUGACAAACCGGAGGAAGGUGGGGAUGACGUCAAGUCCUCAUGGCCCUUAUGGGUAGGGCUUCACACGUCAUACAAUGGUACAUACAGAGGGCUGCCAACCCGCGAGGGGGAGCUAAUCCCAGAAAGUGUAUCGUAGUCCGGAUUGUAGUCUGCAAUUCGACUACAUGAAGUUGGAAUCGCUAGUAAUCGCGGAUCAGCAUGUCGCGGUGAAUACGUUCCCGGGUCUUGUACACACCGCCCGUCACACCAUGGGAGCGGGUUUUACCAGAAGUAGGUAGCUUAACCGCAAGGAGGGCGCUUACCACGGUAGGAUUCGUGACUGGGGUGAAGUCGUAACAAGGUAGCCGUAUCGGAAGGUGCGGCUGGAUCACCUCCUUUCUG